AUUGAACGCUGGCGGCAGGCCUAACACAUGCAAGUCGAGCGGAUGAAGGGAGCUUGCUCCUGGAUUCAGCGGCGGACGGGUGAGUAAUGCCUAGGAAUCUGCCUGGUAGUGGGGGAUAACGUCCGGAAACGGGCGCUAAUACCGCAUACGUCCUGAGGGAGAAAGUGGGGGGUCUUCGGACCUCACGCUAUCAGAUGAGCCUAGGUCGGAUUAGCUAGUUGGUGGGGUAAAGGCCUACCAAGGCGACGAUCCGUAACUGGUCUGAGAGGAUGAUCAGUCACACUGGAACUGAGACACGGUCCAGACUCCUACGGGAGGCAGCAGUGGGGAAUAUUGGACAAUGGGCGAAAGCCUGAUCCGGCCAUGCCGCGUGUGUGAAGAAGGUCUUCGGAUUGUAAAGCACUUUAAGUUGGGAGGAAGGGCAGUAAGUUAAUACCUUGCUGUUUUGACGUUACCAACAGAAUAAGCACCGGCUAACUUCGUG
rnacentral:rRNA from 1 species